GGAUGCGAUCAUACCAGCACUAAAGCACCGGAUCCCAUCAGAACUCCGAAGUUAAGCGUGCUUGGGCGAGAGUAGUACUAGGAUGGGUGACCUCCUGGGAAGUCCUCGUGUUGCAUCCCUCCUUUUUGCCGUCCACCGCCGCGCGUUUCCGGGAUGUAAAAUUUUUUUCUCUUAUCCGAAAAGUUAUUUUUUGCCUGAAUUUGAAUCCGUAUGCAAAAGUUAUGACUGUUUGAAGUUGGGGAUUCCGAUUAGGUUUUCCAGAGGGGAUAUAACACAAGAGGGGCGGGCUAUGCGGAUGCUAUGUAAACCGUUCUAGGCGUGAUCCCUCCUUUUCUGUCGUCCGCCGCCGCGCGUUUCCUUUUGCUGCACACGGAUGCUAUCUAAACCGUUGUAGGUGUCGGCUGUGCUCCGGCGCGCGCGCGAGCACAAGAGGGGCGGGGGCGCAAGGAAUGUC
rnacentral:misc_RNA from 1 species